rnacentral:rRNA from 1 species
AAUGGGGGAAACCCUGAUCCAGCCAUGCCGCGUGUGUGAAGAAGGCCUUUUGGUUGUAAAGCACUUUAAGCAGUGAAGAAGACUCCAUGGUUAAUACCCACGGACGAUGACAUUAGCUGCAGAAUAGACC